rnacentral:rRNA from 1 species
GAGGAGGAGCAAAUCUGAAAAAAGACGUCCCUAGUUCGGAUUGUAGGCUGAAACUCGCCUACAUGAAGCUGGAAUUGCUAGUAAUCACAGGUCAGCAUACUGUGGUGAAUACGUUCCCGGGCCUUGUACACACCGCCCGUCACACCAUGAGAGUUGGAAAUGCCCGAAGCCAGUGACCCAACCGUAAGGAGGGAGCUGUCGAAGGUGGAGCCGAUGACUGGGGUGAAGUCGUAACAAGGUACC